UGGGGAAUAUUGCACAAUGGGCGCAAGCCUGAUGCAGCCAUGCCGCGUGUAUGAAGAAGGCCUUCGGGUUGUAAAGUACUUUCAGCGGGGAGGAAGGGAGUAAAGUUAAUACCUUUGCUCAUUGACGUUACCCGCAGAAGAAGCACCGGCUAACUCCGUGCCAGCAGCCGCGGUAAUACGGAGGGUGCAAGCGUUAAUCGGAAUUCUGGGCGUAAAGCGCACGCAGGCGGUUUGUUAAGUCAGAUGUGAAAUCCCCGGGCUCAACCUGGGAACUGCAUCUGAUACUGGCAAGCUUGAGUCUCGUAGAGGGGGGUAGAAUUCCAGGUGUAGCGAUGAAAUGCGUAGAGAUCUGGAGGAAUACCGGUGGCGAAGGCGGCCCCCUGGACGAAGACUGACGCUCAGGUGCGAAAGCGUGGGGAGCAAACAGG
rnacentral:rRNA from 1 species